AGAGUUUGAUCCUGGCUCAGGAUGAACGCUGGCUGUGUGCCUAAUACAUGCAUGUUGAACGAAGCUAAAAGUGCUUGCACUUUAAGACUUAGUAGCGAAUGGGUGAGUAACACGUACUUAACCUACCCCCAAGUUUGGGAUAACGUUUGGAAACGAACGCUAAUACCGAAUACGUAUUUUUAUCGCAUGAUAGAAAUAUAAAAGGAGCUUCGGCUUCGCUAGGGGAUGGGAGUGCGCUACAUUAGUUAGUUGGUAGGGUAAUGGCCUACCAAGACUAUGAUGUAUAGCGGGGCCGAGAGGCUGAUCCGCCACACUGGGACUGAGAUACGGCCCAGACUCCUACGGGAGGCAGCAGUAGGGAAUUUUCCACAAUGAACGAAAGUUUGAUGGAGCGACACAGCGUGCAGGAUGGAGGUCUUCGGAUCGUAAACUGCUGUUAUAAGGGAAGAAAAACUUUAGUAGGUAAUGACUAGAACUUGACGGUACCUUAUCAGAAAGCGACGGCUAACUAUGUGCCAGCAGCCGCGGUAAU
rnacentral:rRNA from 1 species